GUGGGGAAUAUUGGACAAUGGGGGGAACCCUGAUCCAGCCAUGCCGCGUGUGUGAAGAAGGCCUUUUGGUUGUAAAGCACUUUAAGCGAGGAGGAGGCUACCGAGAUUAAUACUCUUGGAUAGUGGACGUUACUCGCAGAAUAAGCACCGGCUAACUCUGUGCCAGCAGCCGCGGUAAUACAGAGGGUGCAAGCGUUAAUCGGAUUUACUGGGCGUAAAGCGCGCGUAGGUGGCCAAUUAAGUCAAAUGUGAAAUCCCCGAGCUUAACUUGGGAAUUGCAUUCGAUACUGGUUGGCUAGAGUAUGGGAGAGGAUGGUAGAAUUCCAGGUGUAGCGGUGAAAUGCGUAGAGAUCUGGAGGAAUACCGAUGGCGAAGGCAGCCAUCUGGCCUAAUACUGACACUGAGGUGCGAAAGCGUGGGGAGCAAACAGGAUUAGAAACCCCUGUAGUCC
rnacentral:rRNA from 1 species